UACGAAGGGGGCUAGCGUUGCUCGGAAUCACUGGGCGUAAAGGGUGCGUAGGCGGGUCUUUAAGUCAGGGGUGAAAUCCCGGGGCUCAACCCCAGAACUGCCUUUGAUACUGGAGAUCUUGAGUUCGGGAGGGGUGAGUGGAACUGCGAGUGUAGAGGUGAAAUUCGUAGAUAUUCGCAAGAACACCAGUGGCGAAGGCGGCUCACUGGCCCGAUACUGACGCUGAGGCACGAAAGCGUGGGGAGCAAACAGG
rnacentral:rRNA from 1 species